GAUUGAACGCUGGCGGCAGGCCUAACACAUGCAAGUCGAACGGUAACAGGAAACAGCUUGCUGUUUCGCUGACGAGUGGCGGACGGGUGAGUAAUGUCUGGGAAACUGCCUGAUGGAGGGGGAUAACUACUGGAAACGGUAGCUAAUACCGCAUAACGUCGCAAGACCAAAGAGGGGGACCUUCGGGCCUCUUGCCAUCGGAUGUGCCCAGAUGGGAUUAGCUAGUAGGUGGGGUAACGGCUCACCUAGGCGACGAUCCCUAGCUGGUCUGAGAGGAUGACCAGCCACACUGGAACUGAGACACGGUCCAGACUCCUACGGGAGGCAGCAGUGGGGAAUAUUGCACAAUGGGCGCAAGCCUGAUGCAGCCAUGCCGCGUGUAUGAAGAAGGCCUUCGGGUUGUAAAGUACUUUCAGCGGGG
rnacentral:rRNA from 1 species